UGGGGAAUAUUGCACAAUGGGCGCAAGCCUGAUGCAGCCAUGCCGCGUGUAUGAAGAAGGCCUUCGGGUUGUAAAGUACUUUCAGCGAGGAGGAAGGCGGUAAGGUUAAUAACCUUAUCGAUUGACGUUACUCGCAGAAGAAGCACCGGCUAACUCCGUGCCAGCAGCCGCGGUAAAACGGAGGGGGCAAGCGUUAAUCGGAAUUACUGGGCGUAAAGCGCACGCAGGCGGUCUGUCAAGUCGGAUGUGAAAUCCCCGGGCUCAACCUGGGAACUGCAUUCGAAACUGGCAGGCUAGAGUCUUGUAGAGGGGGGUAGAAUUCCAGGUGUAGCGGUGAAAUGCGUAGAGAUCUGGAGGAAUACCGGUGGCGAAGGCGGCCCCCUGGACAAAGACUGACGCUCAGGUGCGAAAGCGUGGGGAGCAAACA
rnacentral:rRNA from 1 species